rnacentral:rRNA from 1 species
AGAGACGAGUCAGAGUUUGAUCCUGGCUCAGGACGAACGCUGGCGGCGUGCCUAACACAUGCAAGUCGAACGGAGUUAAGACUUCGGUUUUAACUUAGUGGCGAACGGGUGAGUAACGCGUGAGAAACCUGCCUUUCAGUGGGGGACAACAGUUGGAAACGACUGCUAAUACCGCAUAAUGUACACGGACCGCAUGAUCUGUGUACCAAAGCUUUAUGUGCUGAAAGAUGGUCUCGCGUCUGAUUAGCUAGUUGGUGAGGUAACGGCUCACCAAGGCGACGAUCAGUAGCCGGUCUGAGAGGAUGAACGGCCACAUUGGGACUGAGAUACGGCCCAG